AUAGGAAUUGGACCCGUUCCAAGUUCUUCGAAGCAGAAAGUGGGGACAUUUCCCACGGGUCCAGCUGAUGCAGCAUUGCUCGGUAAGAAGAAGCUUCCGGUAUAAAGUUCUUCAGCGAGGAGGAAGGCUUAAGCUAAUACCUUAGUGAUGCGUUACUGCAGAAGAAGCCCUGCUACUUCGUGCCAACAGCGCGGUAAUACUGAGGUGCAAGCGUAAUCGAAAUACGGGCGUAAAGCGCACGCAGCGGUCUUUAAGUCAGAUGGAAUCCCGGGGUCAACUGGAACUGCAUUUGAAACUGGCAGGCUGGAGUCUGUAGAGGGGGGUAGAAUCCAGGUGUAGCGGUGAAAGCGUAGAGAUCUGGAGGAAUACCGGUGGCGAAGGCGGCCCCUGGACAAAGACUGACGCUCAGGUGCGAAAGCGUGGGGAGCAAACAGGAUUAGAUACCCUGGUAGUCCUCGCUGUAAACGAUGUCGACUUGGAGGUUGUUCCCUUGAGGAGUGGCUUCCGGAGCUAACGCGUUAAGUCGACCGCCUGGGGAGUACGGCCGCAAGGUUAAAACUCAAAUGAAUUGACGGGGGCCCGCACAAGCGGUGGAGCAUGUGGUUUAAUUCGAUGCAACGCGAAGAACCUUACCUAUUCUUGACAUCCAGAGAACUUAGCAGAGAUGCUUUGGUGCCUUCGGGAACUCUGAGACAGGUGCUGCAUGGCUGUCGUCAGCUCGUGUUGUGAAAUGUUGGGUUAAGUCCCGCAACGAGCGCAACCCUUAUCCUUUGUUGCCAGCGGUUCGGUCGGGAACUCAAAGGAGACUGCCAGUGAUAAACUGGAGGAAGGUGGGGAUGACGUCAAGUCAUCAUGGCCCUUACGAGUAGGGCUACACACGUGCUACAAUGGCAUAUACAAAGAGAAGCGACCUCGCGAGAGCAAGCGGACCUCAUAAAGUAUGUCGUAGUCCGGAUUGGAGUCUGCAACUCGACUCCAUGAAGUCGGAAUCGCUAGUAAUCGUAGAUCAGAAUGCUACGGUGAAUACGUUCCCGGACCUUGUGCUCCCCGCCCAUCAAACCAAGGGAGUGGGUUGCCACAAAAUUAGGUCCUUAACCUUCAAGAGUGCACUUGGCUCCACUAUCACACUACAGCUUCGAUCACGUUCCCCCAGAUAC
rnacentral:rRNA from 1 species